rnacentral:rRNA from 1 species
AUUGAACGCUGGCGGCAGGCUUAACACAUGCAAGUCGAGCGAGCGGCGGACGGGUGAGUAAUGUCUGGGAAACUGCCUGAUGGAGGGGGAUAACUACUGGAAACGGUAGCUAAUACCGCAUACCAUCAGAUGUGCCCAGAUGGGAUUAGCUAGUAGGUGGGGUAAUGGCUCACCUAGGCGACGAUCCCUAGCUGGUCUGAGAGGAUGACGGGCACAACGGGAACGGGAACACGGUCCAACUCCCUAGGGGAGGAAGCGGUGGGAAAUAUUGGCCAAGGGGGACAAGCCUAAUGCAGCCAUCCCGCGGGUGGGAAGAAGGCCUCCGGGUUGUAAAGCACUUUCAGCGAGGAGGCGUUACCCGCAGAAGAAGCACCGGCUAACUCCGUGCCAGCCGCCGCGGUAAUUC